CAUCGUCGCAGCCGGAGGAAGGACAGCCUACAACAACACCAUGGAACUAAACUCUGUUUGCUGUGAGGACUUCUUGCCAUGGUAUGGAUUCCCCUCGGCGUCGACAAUGCGUUAGAAACAUGUAGAUACACCAGCUGCGUUCAUAGGUACGCACACUAGCUGAAGCGAUGCCGUAGACUGAGUUUCUUUGGAACAGAGACCAAUGAACUCAAGGAAGGCGUUCCGAGAUCCUUCGGAUACAAGCGUUAAAACCUAGUGCUGGGCACAAACGAGGUGAAACCAAGGAGACGAAAGGAUAACUAACACUGCUCGGUGUGUUCGUCGUCCUUCCUUUAGUCUUUGGUUUCACCUUCUUUGCGCCCAGCACUAGGGGUUUUAACGCUUAUCAACAAGGUGUAUCAGCCACCCCGGAUCACCAGCCUUCUGCGGCAUACCUGCGUCUGACACGAGGGAAAUGCCACUGAACAGCUUCAUACCUCCAACUUUCCGCCGCUGGUCUACUGCAGACUGCCUAGAGCUAACACGUGAAAGAUGAAGACGCCGAUCUCCGAGCAACUGCGUUGCUCCUUCAGGCCACUUCUGCGACUUCAUUCCGAAGUAGCUCCAAUGAGUGAAGGUGACACAAGCUACGCCUUCGUCCCGAACAGCUGUGAAUAUCGAAAUGGGAUCAAUAAAAUGCUUGAAUAUUUGUA